AUUUUCGUUCGAUAAUCUAGAAGCAACGUCAACCAAUAUAUUAGCAAGGCAAUUAGCAGCACGGGUACGAAGUUCUGGUGCAACAUUAAUGAUCUUAAAAACUUCGCUAAGAGACUUCGAUAUCAAUGACCAUCCAGAGUGAUCAAGCUUAGAAUCAAGAAAUCUAUCCAAAUUACAGGAGCAAACCGUUUCUAAAAUAGAAAAAGAAUAAAACACCUCAGAACUUUUUCUCAGUAAACGAAUGCCUCCUGAUAUAGACCGAUUAGCAGAAGUCUUAUAAACUGAAUUUUUGGUGUUCGCUGAAAGUAAAUCUUCAUUAAACGAUUGCCGAGGAGCAGUUAAGGUCUGAAUAGGAUGAACACUUGAUGAGGUUAUCACUGCGAGGAGAGAUUCUAAAAAUUCCAUAUAAGCUGGCUGGGAGUAUGAGGAAGUCACAUACAUUAGUUCCGAUAGCUCAUUUUUAUAGGAAACCAGUUCAUAAUCCAUCAGAGUUGAGAAACUCUUACUAUCCUGAAAGUUGGAAUUUGAAGAAUUCACACGAUUAAGGCUACUUGUAGAAAGAUGUUUGGAGGUUGGAGAUCGGUUUAGUAUAAUAUCAGCUUUGUCAAAGGUCUCAAAUAAUAUUUUCCAUCCUUUACCCAUCUUUUCACCAACUACUUUAGCAAUUGAAGAUAAACAUCUCAAAAACAGGAUUUCUCGUAAGGAGAAACAUUUUUGCUUCUCGUCAUGAUUGGAAUCGUAACUGGCUAUUGCAGCAAUUGUAGUAGCAGCCUCCUUAAGCCCUUCCACACUAAACAUUGUAGAGGUCGAUAGACGACCAUUAUGUGAAAUUGAACUUGAUGCACUGUGAGUCAUGUUUCCUGAAAGUAGAUUAGAAGGUACUGCUUUGUUACUCAAUGUUGUUAACAACGCAUCUCUCGGUGUUUCCAAACCAAAGAGUGUGCAAACGGAAACAAAAUUAACAUAUGAAUUUAAACAGAACUUUAAUAGCUCAACGGCUAAAGCGGAUGAAACAAAAGUAGAAUAAGCUACAAGGAAUGAAGUCCAAUUUUCAGAAAUCAGACCGUAUUGACACUUUAUUAUAUUUUGAGGUCUCGCCGUAGAGUCUUCCUUUGAAUCGAAGUUUUCACAUUUGAUGCCUUCUAUAAGAAGUGUGAAUUCCUUUUUGCCAACGUCUUCGUAAAACUGAAAAACGAAAUCAGCAAUCCCAUUCGAUAUAGAAGCUAAUGAGCACAUAGCCAAGUAUACCAAAUAAGCAAAUGGUAUUAUUGGUGGUUCUUGCUUGUCGAAUUGCUCGAUACAAGGUGUUUUUAAAAUGGUGGCACGACAAAUUCCGAUUAUCUGCUCUGGUUUCGUACCAGUAAAGCUUCCUGACACUUUCUCCAUGGAGGAGGGAGGGUUACCUGAAGAAGUAGAGGAAUAAUCCUCAAAUGUGUCCGCUAAAACUACACGAGAUCCAACACCAAUUACGGAUGGCUUUUC